rnacentral:rRNA from 1 species
AACGCGAAAGGUUCCUUCGGGGACUGAGUAGAGUGGCGCACGGGUGAGUAACACGUGAGCAACCUACCCCUUGGCCUGGGAUAACAUGCCGAAAGGCGUGCUAAUACCGGAUGAGUCCACAGCCUCUUCGGAGGCAGUGAGAAAAGGUGGGGACCCGAAAGGGCCUGCCACCAGGGGAUGGGCUCGCGGCCUAUCAGCUUGUUGGUGAGGUAACGGCUCACCAAGGCUAAGACGGGUAGCUGGUCUGAGAGGAUGAACAGCCACACUGGAACUGAGACACGGUCCAGACUCCUACGGGAGGCAGCAGUGGGGAAUUUUGCGCAAUGGGCGAAAGCCUGACGUAGCGACGCCGCGUGAGUGAUGAAGGCCUUCGGGUUGUAAAGCUCUGUGGGAGGGGAAGAAUAAUGCACAGCGAAUACCUGUGCAGAUGUCGGUACCCUCUUAGCAAGCACCGGCUAACUCUGUGCCAGCAGCCGCGGUAAUACAGAGGGUGCAAACGUUGUUCGGAAUUACUGGGCGUAAAGCGCAUGUAGGCGGCUUUGUAAGUCGGAUGUGAAAUCCCUCGGCCCAACCGGGGAAGUGCAUUCGAAACUGCGGAGCUGGAGUCUCGGAGAGGAAGGUGGAAUGCUUGGUGUAGAGGUGAAAUUCGUAGAUAUCAAGCGGAACACCGGUGGCGAAGGCGGCCUUCUGGAAGAUGACUGACGCUGAGAUGCGAAAGCGUGGGUAGCAAACAGGAUUAGAUACCCUGGUAGUCCACGCCGUAAACAAUGAGUGCUAGGUGUCACGGGCUUUGACCCUCGU